rnacentral:tRNA from 1 species
CGUUAAGAAGCUAUGAAGCAGCGCUAGCCUUUUAAGCUAGAGAAAGAGGGCUAAUCCCUCCUUAAUGG